rnacentral:rRNA from 1 species
CUCCUACGGGAGGCAGCAGUGGGGAAUCUUCCGCAAUGGGCCAAAGCGGAAUGGAGCAAAGCGGCGGAAACGAAGAAGGCCUUAGGGUGGUAAAGUUAUGUCCUUAGGGAAGUACAAUGGGUAUACUAUAAUGGUACCCUACUGAC